rnacentral:rRNA from 1 species
UCUUGAAACCAGGAUUAGAUACCCUAUUACUCUACUUAUCAUUUCCCAGAACAUUAAUUUUUAUGAAAUUUAACGGAUUUGGCGGCGAGAUAGCCCAUUAGAGGAACCUGCCCUGUAAGCGAUGAUCCACGAAAAAACUUGCUAUAUUUUGAAAUCAGAUUUGUAUACCGCUGUUGCCAGUUAGUUCUAUUAGGAAAUUUUCAUGGGUGGUUGACGCCAAGGACUUCAAGUAAAGGUGCAGCUAAUAAUAUAGAAAGAGGUGGGUUACAAUUAUUCGAGUAAAACGGAAGGCUUAAUGGAAAAAAGCUGGAAGGUGGAUUUAAUAGUAAAUUCUUGCGGAGAUUUGAUUAGCGCUCUAUCUUGUGUACAUACGGAGUCGCUA